rnacentral:hammerhead_ribozyme from 1 species
AUUCAGCUGACGAGUCUCGUAUAAGACGAAACGUGAGUCCUGGAU